rnacentral:rRNA from 1 species
GACGAACGCUGGCGGCGUGCCUAAUACAUGCAAGUAGAACGCUGAAGGAGGAGCUUGCUUCUCUGGAUGAGUUGCGAACGGGUGAGUAACGCGUAGGUAACCUGCCUGGUAGCGGGGGAUAACUAUUGGAAACGAUAGCUAAUACCGCAUAAUAGUAGAUGUUGCAUGACAUUUGCUUAAAAGGUGCAAUUGCAUCACUACCAGAUGGACCUGCGUUGUAUUAGCUAGUUGGUGGGGUAACGGCUCACCAAGGCGACGAUACAUAGCCGACCUGAGAGGGUGAUCGGCCACACUGGGACUGAGACACGGCCCAGACUCCUACGGGAGGCAGCAGUAGGGAAUCUUCGGCAAUGGACGGAAGUCUGACCGAGCAACGCCGCGUGAGUGAAGAAGGUUUUCGGAUCGUAAAGCUCUGUUGUAAGAGAAGAACGAGGGUGAGAGUGGAAAGUUCACACUGUGACGGUAUCUUACCAGAAAGGGACGGCUAACUACGUG